GCUAGCGUGGCUAGGUAACAUCCAUCUCAUGUAAACGAAGCCUUUAUGUAGUGUUCUGUUACAGCUGCGCUGCAUAGGCGAACUUGUGGAUCUGUUUAUCUGGCAGUGUGGUAAUUUACAGGGACUGAGGCUUCUGUGGUGGCGGUGGUGAUCCCUGGUGGCGGUGUCUUGUCUUGUGUGUUUUGUUGGAUCACCUUUUUUUGUGUGUGUUCGUCGUGUCUUUGUAGUGUCCAGGGUGAUCCCUUUUCCUUCACUGGAUGUUGCCCCUUUCCUCACUACUUCCCCCCACUGGUAAGCCUCAGUUUCCUUUGAAAUUUAAACAUUUUAUUAUAAUCAACUUCAUUAAAAAGGCAUUCACUGUUUUAACCAUUCAAUUUUAGGUUGUUGUUCAUUUAAACAACAUAUUGAAGUUUAAUAAUUUUUUUGUAGAACUGUC